ACGACACUGGUAGAGGAAGUAUGAGACAAAGUCGCAAAUGAAUCACUCGGUAAUUCCUCACUGAAGGGUGAGCAAGUCCAUGGGCAAGGGAACUGUGUGAUAUCAGUAUGACUGGGGCAUUGAUUUUUGAGACUGCAAGCACGUGGAAUUUGGGGUGGGAAACAAGUGCAUCAUGCCAGUCCUGGAUGACCAGCUGCCUGGUCCUUAUAAAAGGAGUCUCCGUCACAGUGCUGUCAUUGUCAUGACGGUCAUAGGUCUUCUUUGGAGCCUCUGGUAAUUUUGUUUUAGAAAGUGGUGAAGGAGAAACGAACCAAAAAGACUGAAGAUCUGAGGGCAAGAGAUACUAAAAAAGAAGGGUGAAGAAGCUCUAAAA